GAGAUCAGCAGAAGAAUAUUAGACCUCACCUUGGAGAUCAUCUCCCUGCUGAGCGGAGAGGAUUACACCAUAGUGAAGAAGACAUCGGGGGGGACUUCCAUCAUCCAUGAGUCAGGAGGGUGGAGCAGGACCCACAUCACAGAGCCUCCCCCCCUGAUACAUGAGAAGAAGAUCCUAGAACUCACCCACAAGAUGAUGGAGCUGCUGACUGGAGAGGUUCCUGUAAGGUGUCAGGAUGUGGCGGUCUAUUUCUCCAUGGAGGAGUGGGAGUAUGUAGAAGGACACAAGGAUCUGUACAAGGAGGCUAUGAUGGAGGCUCCCCUGCCUCUGACAUCACCAGG